rnacentral:rRNA from 1 species
GACGUAGGGCGCGAGCGUUGUCCGGAUUUAUUGGGCGUAAAGAGCUCGUAGGCGGCUUGUCACGUCGUUCGUGAAAACUUGGGGCUCAACCCCAAGCUUGCGGUCGAUACGGGCAGGCUAGAGUUCGGUAGGGGAGACUGGAAUUCCUGGUGUAGCGGUGAAAUGCGCAGAUAUCAGGAGGACACCGGCUGGCGAAGGCGGGUUGCUGGGCCGACACUGACGCUGAUGCGCGAAAGCCAGGGGAGCGAACGGG